rnacentral:rRNA from 1 species
AUGAACGCUGGCGGCGUGCCUAAUACAUGCAAGUCGAGCGAACAGAUGAGGAGCUUGCUCCUCUGACGUUAGCGGCGGACGGGUGAGUAACACGUGGAUAACCUACCUAUAAGACUGGGAUAACUUCGGGAAACCGGAGCUAAUACCGGAUAAUAUAUUGAACCGCAUGGUUCAAUAGUGAAAGACGGUUUUGCUGUCACUUAUAGAUGGAUCCGCGCCACAUUAGCUAGUUGGUAAGGUAACGGCUUACCAAGGCAACGAUGCGUAGCCGACCUGAGAGGGUGAUCGGCCACACUGGAACUGAGACACGGUCCAGACUCCUACGGGAGGCAGCAGUAGGGAAUCUUCCGCAAUGGGCGAAAGCCUGACGGAGCAACGCCGCGUGAGUGAUGAAGGUCUUCGGAUCGUAAAACUCUGUUAUUAGGGAAGAACAAAUGUGUAAGUAACUAUGCACGUCUUGACGGUACCUAAUCAGAAAGCCACGGCUAACUACGUG